UCCUACGGGAGGCAGCAGUAGGCCAAUCUUCCGCAAUGGACGAAAGUCUGACGGAGCAACGCCGCGUGAGUGAUGAAGGCUUUCGGGUCGUAAAACUCUGUUGUUAGGGAAGAACAAGUGCUAGUUGAAUAAGCUGGCACCUUGACGGUACCUAACCAGAAAGCCACGGCUAACUACGUGCCAGCAGCCGCGGUAAUACGUAGGUGGCAAGCGUUAUCCGGAAUUAUUGGGCGUAAAGCGCGCGCAGGUGGUUUCUUAAGUCUGAUGUGAAAGCCCACGGCUCAACCGUGGAGGGUCAUUGGAAACUGGGAGACUUGAGUGCAGAAGAGGAAAGUGGAAUUCCAUGUGUAGCGGUGAAAUGCGUAGAGAUAUGGAGGAACACCAGUGGCGAAGGCGACUUUCUGGUCUGUAACUGACACUGAGGCGCGAAAGCGUGGGGAGCAAACAGGAUUAGAUACCCUGGUAGUCCACGCCGUAAACGAUGAGUGCUAAGUGUUAGAGGGUUUCCGCCCUUUAGUGCUGAAGUUAACGCAUUAAGCACUCCGCCUGGGGAGUACGGCCGCAAGGCUGAAACUCAAAGGAA
rnacentral:rRNA from 1 species